rnacentral:rRNA from 1 species
UACGUAGGUGGCAAGCGUUGUCCGGAAUUAUUGGGCGUAAAGCGCGCGCAGGCGGUCCUUUAAGUCUGAUGUGAAAGCCCUCGGCUCAACCGAGGAGGGUCAUUGGAAACUGGAGGACUUGAGUGCAGAAGAGGAAAGUGGAAUUCCAAGUGUAGCGGUGAAAUGCGUAGAGAUCGGGAGGAACACCGGUGGCGAAGGCGGGUCUCUGGGCAAUUCCUGACGCUGAGGCGCGAAAGCGUGGGGAGCAAACGGG